GGAUUGUGGCUCAGUGGUAGAGCACUCGCCUAGCAUGUGCAAGGCCCUGGGUUUGAUCCUCAGCACCA
rnacentral:tRNA from 1 species